CUCACGUUCCUAAGCCCCUGCCGCCCAUGCUGGCCUUCCCUGCAACGCUCUGAACCUCUUUCUCGCUCUCUCUCUGCUUUUCCCCCUUCUCAAAUUUCGGCGUCUGUGAUUACGAGCACAUCCUCACCCAUCUCGCUCUCUCUCCCUCCCUCACAACACACGCUUUUUCUCAUGGCCCACAAUUUCAUCCCGCCGUAAAGGCUCUAGCCCAUUGAUCACAACGCAGAUUCAGUCUGUGGGGCCAUUCGAAGCAGCGGAUUUCGUCUCAGCUUGUCCUACGCAGUUCACCUCUGUCAAAAAGACCUAUAAACAGAAACAAAUGCUAAAGUAUAUGAGUCAAAACGUGAACCUGCUCUACGGUUCUCAACACUAGCGGAACAUCUGCACACACACACACACACAGAUGGGACAAUGCAGCGGUGAUUCCGUGUGCUUGGCGGAGGUUCCAGGGCGUGUCUGGACGGGAAGAAGUAACCGCAAUUUUGUGGCAAGUUAGUAUUGGUACUUUCGACUUUUCAACACUAUAUUGCUGGAACAUGGACAGUAAGGAUUUCAUUUUCUGUGUUUUUGUUGUGUUGAGAUGAUUUUUAUGUUUUUAGUUUGUUGUAAUUUGUGAAGAUGGAACGGCACUAUUGCUGAUAAUUUUAUUGGGUUUAAGGAUAGGUCCAUCCUAUUCAUUUAGUGACGAUCUCAUUUGUGUUUUCCUAUGUACCUACGUUGGAAGUAAUUGCGUACUAUAUUAUUCAGAAAAUAGAUAAUAAUGGUUUUGUUUCCAUUAUUUUUUUUGAGCUGCAAAGCUUCUUUUAA